rnacentral:rRNA from 1 species
GAUGAACGCUAGCUACAGGCUUAACACAUGCAAGUCGAGGGCCCGGCGCACGGGUGAGUAACACGUAACCAACCUGCCCUUUACCCGGGGAUAGCCUUUCGACAGCAAGAUUACUGCCCGAAGUAAAGGCUGGGGAUGCGUUGCAUUAGUUUGUUGGUGAGGUAACGGCUCAACAAGCCUUCGAUGGCUAGGGGUGCUGGGAGGAAGGUCGCCGACAUGGGAAGUUGGACACGGACCAAGCUCCUGCGAGAGGGAGCAGUGUGGAACAUGGGGCAAUGGGGGUUAACCUGAACCAGCCGAGUAGCGUGAAGUGUGGAGGCUUGUGGGACGUAAAAUUCUUUUAUAUAAGAAUAUGUAUUAUAGGAGUAAGGAUCGGCUAACUCCGUGCCAGCAGCCGCGGUAAUUC